GCCAGGAUGGCUGAGUGGUUAAGGUGUUAGAUUUCAAAUCUGGUGGAUGUAUACCUGUGAGGGUUCAAGUACACUCCUAGUA
rnacentral:tRNA from 1 species